UCCAUGGCAAUCCUUCGAAAUGGUGUGGAGAUAACUGGAAGUGGUUGAAGGCAAGCACGAUCUGACCUGCGAGGAGUACAUGUUUUCUGACAGGAUUAACAUUCCCAACAUCCAUCACCUUGGCAAACAGGGGCUCCAAUGUGCUAUCUUGCUUCUGUAAUUCCACAAUAUUUUCAGCAAACACAUCAACACUGGCAAGUCCCUCCCCAAAAGAAGGUCCACAGGCAGAUUAUCUACCACCCCAACAGUCAGAAAAUAAGGCUGCUCAUCGAUUAACACAGUUAUUUCAGUCUGAGGUGGACAAACUGAAGCUUUGUGUCCAGGCUGCUGACAAUAAUAGCAAAUCAGUGUCUUACCGGUUGCUGGUUGUUCAGUCCCUGUGCUGGUG